GAACCUGCCCAAAGGCCAGAUGUCAUCAGCAGCUGAACAGCAUCUCCAGAAACCAGCUGCAAAGACGGAAGCAGAACAACUGGUUUGGUGGAGAGAUCUGAUAACAAAAAGUUGGGAAACAGGUAAAAUAAUAACUUGGGGUAGAAGUUAUGCUUGUGUUUCUCCAGGCCAAAAUCAACAGCUGGUUUGGAUACCAUCAAGACACCUGAAAUCUUAUCAUGAGUCAGAUGCUGAGGAAGAGACUCCGGGAGGAUCCCGAGGACGCCCCAGUUGCAGCCAUGUUGAGACUGACACUGAGGAGGACCCCAACUGUCACGAGCAACACCUGUCGAACACAGCCACCCACCUGGGGACAGAUCAAGAAGCUGUCACAGAUGGCAGAAGAAAACCUGAGGAAAGCGGGACAACCAGUCACAAUGAGUAAUUUCAUGGUAGCUAUGAUAGCAGUUAUCACCAGUGCUUCUGCAGAUGUGGAUCCUAACUCCUGCGAGAAGUAACUCACAGUGACAAAGCUACCUUUGCUUUUAUUGAGUUGCAAAUCAAAGAAGGGGGGACAUGUUGGGAACAGGCCCCCCAAGAUCUGGCCAUAAACUGGCCCCAAAACUGGCUAUAAACGAAAUCUCUGCAGCACUGUGACACGUUCAUGAUGGCCGUGACACCCACGCUGGAAGGUUGUGGGUUUACCGGAAUGAGGGCAAGGGACACCUGGCCCACCCAGGGCGGAAAACCGCUUAAAGGCGCUCUUAAACCACAAACAAUAGCCUGAGUGAUCUGUGCCUUAAAGACACACUCCUGCUGCAGGUAACUAACCAGACCCACCCCUUUACUUCGGCCCAUCCCUUCAUUUCCCAUAACGGAUAGUUUUAGUUAAUCUAUUAUCUAUAGAAACAAUGCUAAUGACUGACGUACUAUUAAUAAAUCUGUGGGUAAACCUCUGUUCCGGGCUCUCAGCUCUGAAGGCUGUCAGACCCCUGAUUUCCCACUUCACACCUCUGUA
rnacentral:lncRNA from 1 species